rnacentral:rRNA from 1 species
AUGGUGAACCAGAGGAAUUUCAACUCCCACAAGACCAAGGGAAAGAACGGUGUCCAACACAAUACCGACUUUAAGAAGAAGGGUAAGAAGACCUUCAAGAAGAACAAGAAGGAUGAGGGCUGCUUUACUUGUGGUUCGGUUGAACAUUGGGCCAACAAGUGCCCAAACAAGUUUAAGAAGUCAGGACAGGACUCCAAGUCUGUCAACAUGAUUGUGGGCAACAACGAGAAUGGUGCAUCUACGGUCACAGGCGACGGGUCCGUACUGAUGGGGAAUGGCGCGAGUGCUUCUGUUCAUGGUGUUGGCACGGUCAAUCUGAAGUUUACUUCGGGAAGGAUCGUGCAGCUGAAGAACGUGCAGCAUGUCCCUGCCAUCAAGAAGAAUCUCGUUAGUGGCUCCCUUUUAUGUAGAGAAGGGUUUAAGUUGAUAUUCGAGUCUAAUAAAUUAGUUGUUACUAAGUAUGGACUAUUUGUUGGAAAAGUUUUUUUUGAGAGAAUUUGUUGGAAAAGGUUAUGA